rnacentral:rRNA from 1 species
AGAAUCAACGCUGGCGGCGUGCCUCAGACAUGCAAGUCGAACGCGAAAGUCCCCUUCGGGGGGCAAGUAGAGUGGCGCACGGGUGAGUAACACGUAGGUAAUCUACCUUCGGAUGGGGAAUAACAAUCGGAAACGGUUGCUAAUACCGCAUAAUGCAGCGGCACCUAAUGGUGACAGUUGUUAAAGCGGGGGAUCGAAAGACCUCGCGUCUGAAGAGGAGCCUGCGGCGGAUUAGCUAGUUGGUAAGGUAACGGCUUACCAAGGCGACGAUCC